GCCGAAGUGGCGGAACAGGCAGACGCGCACGACUCAAAAUCGUGAGGGGAAACCCGUGUGGGUUCGAUUCCCACCUUCGGCA
rnacentral:tRNA from 1 species